CACCUCAAUGCCAGGAUCCACCCACGGGCCGGCUGCCUUACACACUUGGCUAGGUGAAGAGAGUAGCUGGUUUCUCUCCCAUCCUGACUCCAGAGGCACCUCUCCCCUUAUUAUCCUGCAGGUAACACACCAGCUAUUCCUCCUUGUCUUACCUAACUUUAACUUCCCAAAUUUGUAUUUAUUUUUUUUCCCUAUCAUUUUGCUGUUCGCCAAAGGACUGAACUCUGCAAACAAAAUGUGCACCCUAAUGAUAGCCACUACCCCACUAUUUUUGUGUCAAUCCAUUUGUCAACAGAAGUCCUCUUCCAAGCUUAUUCGGAACUGGCACACCCUGAUGGCAAGUUCCUGCUUGUAAAAGAAACGAC